rnacentral:rRNA from 1 species
UACGUAGGGUGCGAGCGUUGUCCGGAAUUAUUGGGCGUAAAGAGCUUGUAGGCGGUUUGUCGCGUCUGCUGUUAAAUUUCGGGGCUCAACCCCGAACUUGCAGUGGGUACGGGCAGACUAGAGUGUGGUAGGGGAGACUGGAAUUCCUGGUGUAGCGGUGAAAUGCGCAGAUAUCAGGAGGAACACCGAUGGCGAAGGCAGCACUCUGGGACGGUACUGACGCUGAGACGCGAAAGCGUGGGGAGCGAACAGG